rnacentral:rRNA from 1 species
UAAGCGACUAAGCGUACACGGUGGAUGCCCUGGCAGUCAGAGGCGAUGAAGGACGUGCUAAUCUGCGAUAAGCGUCGGUGAGGUGAUAUGAACCGUUAUAACCGGCGAUUUCCGAAUGGGGAAACCCAGUGUGUUUCGACACACUAUCAUUAACUGAAUCCAUAGGUUAAUGAGGCGAACCGGGGGAACUGAAACAUCUAAGUACCCCGAGGAAAAGAAAUCAACCGAGAUUCCCCCAGUAGCGGCGAGCGAACGGGGAGGAGCCCAGAGCCUGAAUCAGUGUGUGUGUUAGUGGAAGCGUCUGGAAAGGCGCGCGAUACAGGGUGACAGCCCCGUACACAAAAAUGCACAUAUUGUGAGCUCGAUGAGUAGGGCGGGACACGUGGUAUCCUGUCUGAAUAUGGGGGGACCAUCCUCCAAGGCUAAAUACUCCUGACUGACCGAUAGUGAACCAGUACCGUGAGGGAAAGGCGAAAAGAACCCCGGCGAGGGGAGUGAAAAAGAACCUGAAACCGUGUACGUACAAGCAGUGGGAGCCUCUUAAUGGGGUGACUGCGUACCUUUUGUAUAAUGGGUCAGCGACUUAUAUUCUGUAGCAAGGUUAACCGAAUAGGGGAGCCGAAGGGAAACCGAGUCUUAACUGGGCGUUAAGUUGCAGGGUAUAGACCCGAAACCCGGUGAUCUAGCCAUGGGCAGGUUGAAGGUUGGGUAACACUAACUGGAGGACCGAACCGACUAAUGUUGAAAAAUUAGCGGAUGACUUGUGGCUGGGGGUGAAAGGCCAAUCAAACCGGGAGAUAGCUGGUUCUCCCCGAAAGCUAUUUAGGUAGCGCCUCGUGAAUUCAUCUCCGGGGGUAGAGCACUGUUUCGGCAAGGGGGUCAUCCCGACUUACCAACCCGAUGCAAACUGCGAAUACCGGAGAAUGUUAUCACGGGAGACACACGGCGGGUGCUAACGUCCGUCGUGAAGAGGGAAACAACCCAGACCGCCAGCUAAGGUCCCAAAGUCAUGGUUAAGUGGGAAACGAUGUGGGAAGGCCCAGACAGCCAGGAUGUUGGCUUAGAAGCAGCCAUCAUUUAAAGAAAGCGUAAUAGCUCACUGGUCGAGUCGGCCUGCGCGGAAGAUGUAACGGGGCUAAACCAUGCACCGAAGCUGCGGCAGCGACACUAUGUGUUGUUGGGUAGGGGAGCGUUCUGUAAGCCUGUGAAGGUGGCCUGUGAGGGUUGCUGGAGGUAUCAGAAGUGCGAAUGCUGACAUAAGUAACGAUAAAGCGGGUGAAAAAGCCCGCUCGCCGGAAGACCAAGGGUUCCUGUCCAACGUUAAUCGGGGCAGGGUGAGUCGACCCCUAAGGCGAGGCCGAAAGGCGUAGUCGAUGGGAAACAGGUUAAUAUUCCUGUACUUGGUGUUACUGCGAAGGGGGGACGGAGAAGGCUAUGUUGGCCGGGCGACGGUUGUCCCGGUUUAAGCGUGUAGGCUGGUUUUCCAGGCAAAUCCGGAAAAUCAAGGCUGAGGCGUGAUGACGAGGCACUACGGUGCUGAAGCGACAAAUGCCCUGCUUCCAGGAAAAGCCUCUAAGCAUCAGGUAACAUCAAAUCGUACCCCAAACCGACACAGGUGGUCAGGUAGAGAAUACCAAGGCGCUUGAGAGAACUCGGGUGAAGGAACUAGGCAAAAUGGUGCCGUAACUUCGGGAGAAGGCACGCUGAUAUGUAGGUGAAGCGACUUGCUCGUGGAGCUGAAAUCAGUCGAAGAUACCAGCUGGCUGCAACUGUUUAUUAAAAACACAGCACUGUGCAAACACGAAAGUGGACGUAUACGGUGUGACGCCUGCCCGGUGCCGGAAGGUUAAUUGAUGGGGUUAGCGGUAACGCGAAGCUCUUGAUCGAAGCCCCGGUAAACGGCGGCCGUAACUAUAACGGUCCUAAGGUAGCGAAAUUCCUUGUCGGGUAAGUUCCGACCUGCACGAAUGGCGUAAUGAUGGCCAGGCUGUCUCCACCCGAGACUCAGUGAAAUUGAACUCGCUGUGAAGAUGCAGUGUACCCGCGGCAAGACGGAAAGACCCCGUGAACCUUUACUAUAGCUUGACACUGAACAUUGAGCCUUGAUGUGUAGGAUAGGUGGGAGGCUUUGAAGUGUGGACGCCAGUCUGCAUGGAGCCGGCCUUGAAAUACCACCCUUUAAUGUUUGAUGUUCUAACGUUGGCCCGUAAUCCGGGUUGCGGACAGUGUCUGGUGGGUAGUUUGACUGGGGCGGUCUCCUCCUAAAGAGUAACGGAGGAGCACGAAGGUUGGCUAAUCCUGGUCGGACAUCAGGAGGUUAGUGCAAUGGCAUAAGCCAGCUUGACUGCGAGCGUGACGGCGCGAGCAGGUGCGAAAGCAGGUCAUAGUGAUCCGGUGGUUCUGAAUGGAAGGGCCAUCGCUCAACGGAUAAAAGGUACUCCGGGGAUAACAGGCUGAUACCGCCCAAGAGUUCAUAUCGACGGCGGUGUUUGGCACCUCGAUGUCGGCUCAUCACAUCCUGGGGCUGAAGUAGGUCCCAAGGGUAUGGCUGUUCGCCAUUUAAAGUGGUACGCGAGCUGGGUUUAGAACGUCGUGAGACAGUUCGGUCCCUAUCUGCCGUGGGCGCUGGAGAACUGAGGGGGGCUGCUCCUAGUACGAGAGGACCGGAGUGGACGCAUCACUGGUGUUCGGGUUGUCAUGCCAAUGGCACUGCCCGGUAGCUAAAUGCGGAAGAGAUAAGUGCUGAAAGCAUCUAAGCACGAAACUUGCCCCGAGAUGAGUUCUCCCUGACCCUUUAAGGGUCCUGAAGGAACGUUGAAGACGACGACGUUGAUAGGCCGGGUGUGUAAGCGCAGCGAUGCGUUGAGCUAACCGGUACUAAUGAACCGUGAGGCUUAACCU